rnacentral:rRNA from 1 species
GUGCCAGCAGCCGCGGUAAUACGUAGGGCGCAAGCGUUGACUCCGGAAUUAUUGGGCGUAAAGAGCUCGUAGGCGGUUUGUCGCGUCUGCCGUGAAAGUCCGGGGCUUAACUCCGGAUCUGCGGUGGGUACGGGCAGACUAGAGUGCAGUAGGGGAGACUGGAAUUCCUGGUGUAGCGGUGAAAUGCGCAGAUAUCAGGAGGAACACCGAUGGCGAAGGCAGGUCUCUGGGCUGUAACUGACGCUGAGGAGCGAAAGCAUGGGGAGCGAACAGGAUUAGAUACCCUGGUAGUCC